CCAAGAGUUGAUCUGUUGGAAGGUACCUGUAGUGCUAGGUACUUCUAGCUGCCACAUACUGAGUUUAAAUACUGAGUUUAAGUACAGUCCUUCCCAGUGUGGGAAAGGAACCAGGAUUAAAAGAGACUGAUGGUUAAAUCUGGAUGC